rnacentral:rRNA from 1 species
AGGGAAUCUUCCGCAAUGGACGAAAGUCUGACGGAGCAACGCCGCGUGAGUGAUGAAGGUUUUCGGAUUGUAAAACUCUGUUGUCAGGGAAGAACACCCCGGAGGGGAUCCGGGAUUGACGGUACCUGACGAGAAAGCCCCGGCUAACUACGUGCCAGCAGCCGCGGUAAUACGUAGGGGGCGAGCGUUGUCCGGAAUUAUUGGGCGUAAAGCGCGCGCAGGCGGUCCUUUAAGUCUGAUGUGAAAGCCCACGGCUCAACCGUGGAGGGCCAUUGGAAACUGGGGGACUUGAGUGCAGAAGAGGAGAGUGGAAUUCCUGGUGUAGCGGUGAAAUGCGUAGAGAUCAGGAGGAACACCGAUGGCGAAGGCAGCUCUCUGGUCUGUAACUGACGCUGAGGCGCGAAAGCGUGGGGAGCAAAC